GAGCCCGCGGGACGGCGACGGAGGGGAGGGGAAGCGCCGGGGGCCGCGUUUUGUUUGCUUUUCUGAUGCGUAGUUUUGGCUGUUUUCUCCACUUGCUGCCCCCCGGAAGGAGAGGGGCGUGUGCCCGGCUUCAGAGUUUGGCUUAAAAUGUGCUUGUGGCCUAAGUGAAAGGAAGGGGACAUCUUUGGAUGUAUGCACGAAGUCCAGUUAAGCAUGGAUCUGCUGGCUUGAGCUUGGCAAGAAGUCAAUGGAAACAGCACAUUUUGUUCCUUAAACCUCAGCAGUGGAGUGGUCAUUGCAAAGUUGCCUUGGACCAGCCUUAGUGUGAGCAAUGCUGGAUUGCCUUGAGUUGUGUAAUGAGUGACUGCCUUUAGCUGUGCUCCCUUAAACUCCCUGGGUUUGCUCAGGCUUGUUGGUCCUGGUGACGAAGUCUUUUCCUAGGAAAACUAUGGGCUUCUGAGCAACUUGGAUCACACCAGGCAAGUGCCUGCCUGUUCUCCCACUGGCUUCCUGCUGCUGAAACAAAAGCAAGGCCUUGCAUUGGUAAACUUCAAUGCUGGGUUUUCCCCUUGUGGAUUUGUGGAGUAUGAAGAUAUCUGCUGCUAAUGUUUAUGGUUUAAUGUGUUUUAGGUAAGCAAGUGCUGUAGCAAAGAGGCAGAGUUCAUGUUGAAGUUUUGAGCCAUCAUUUUCUUGCUCCUUUACACUAUUGGGCAGCUCUCUUGUCCUGACUUCCCACUCUUCAGAGCUCUGUGUGUUUUAUGAAUAAAUGCAUUUGUGUGUUGUGGUGCCUGCCUAAAGUAAGAUGAGCAGAAUUAGGCCUGGAAAGCCCUUUUCCUUCUGUAGCAUGAAGAUAACUUGACUUUGUUCUGAGCCAUAAUCUCAGCUGCUUUUGUGCACCAAGAACAGCAAUUCAGAGGGUCUUUUCUCCUCCAGCAGAGGACUUGCAGGCUGGGCAGGGAAAUAUGCAUGUGUCUGUUAGUAUGUAUAUAUGCAGGUGCAUAUGAAGAACCCAGAAAUUAGUUGCUUUUGUUUUCUGUAAUAAACUGAUGCAGUUGCUGGCUACAGUGUGAGAAUCUAAUGCUGCUUGGGCUCAGCUCAGUGUAUAUUGACUCCGGUAAAUUCUGUGGAGUCAGGAAUGGAGUUUGGAGUAUGUUGCCUUGCGAAAUCUGAUGUGAAGCUACUUAGAGUUUCAGCAGUCCUGGAUCCUAUUUGCAAUUCUAAUUGCAAAUAUAGCAGACUGGCUUCUGAAUAGGAACUUGUAUGAAAUGGGCACUAGUCUUCGCAGUGGUUCAGGAAUUUUGUAAUGCUGCUCCUACUGUACUGGAGCACCAUUUUAUUACAAAAAGUGCUGUGGCAUUAACAUAGGCCACAACAUUCUUGAAACUAGCUAAGCAGAAAAAAAUACUUGCUUUCCAAUCCACUAUUUUCCAAACUAGUUUGAAAAUAGCUGCAGUUUCUUGUAUAACUGCAAGCCCCCAUAGCACGAGUGUUAGGGGAGCGGUUUCAAAACUCUGAAAACCUGUUCUGUUGUGGUUAACACUAAUUCUGUAAUUGAGGGUUUAGAGUGAUGUUGAGCUUCACUUAUAGUUACUGUUUAUGGGUUUUUAUUUAUGGAGUACCAGCCAGUAAAAGGACAGAAACAGUUCAUUACUACUCAUAAUGUUCUCAAUUUCUUUCCCUGUGCUUUGCAACAUUGUAGAUCUGAUCUUGGCUUUCUUAGUUCAGUCUAAAACAGUAAAGAAGUAAAUUCUUAUGGAGUCAGAUUUUUAGCUAAAAGUUCAAGUGUUUAUGAAGAGAAGAUGAUGACUUUUUGAUGCCUUCUUGUCCCAUCCUGGUGUUGUAAACCUAUAUAUGUAACAGUAGUUUUGAGCCUGACAUACCUUCUUACUUGAAGAGAAAAAAAAAGAAAGUGUUCUGUUAGAUACCAUAUUUAGCUGACAACACUGAAAGUAGUAUUUAUUUUUGACUGGCUUCUUUAUUUUCACAUAAUGACUUAACCUUCUGCUGGAGGUGAUGCCAUGAACUUGGUAGAAGUUGUAUGUAAACUUGUCCCUAAAGAUAUCAAAAUGGCAAGACCCACUUUUUUUUUUUUUUUU